rnacentral:rRNA from 1 species
AGAUUGAACGCUGGCGGCAGGCCUAACACAUGCAAGUCGAGCGGUAGAGAGGUGCUUGCAUCUCUUGAGAGCGGCGGACGGGUGAGUAAUGCCUAGGAAUCUGCCUAGUGGUGGGGGAUAACGUUCGGAAACGGACGCUAAUACCGCAUACGUCCUACGGGAGAAAGCGGGGGACCUUCGGGCCUCGCGCCAUUAGAUGAGCCUAGGUCGGAUUAGCUAGUUGGUGAGGUAAUGGCUCACCAAGGCGACGAUCCGUAACUGGUCUGAGAGGAUGAUCAGUCACACUGGAACUGAGACACGGUCCAGACUCCGUACGGGNGCAGCA